AUGUGUGCUUCAAAGCAGAGCGGAGGCAUGGGAUUUAGAGAUCCGGAGGCUUUCAACCAGGCCCUCCUGGCCAAGCAAGCGUGGAGGAUCUUGCAGUAUCCCUCUUCUUUGUGUGCAAGGGUCCUUAAGGCAAAAUAUUUCAAGGAUGACUCCACUUUGACAGCCUCGCGUCCGGCGGCGGCAUCCUUCACGUUCAGGAGCAUUUUGCAUGGG
rnacentral:rRNA from 1 species